rnacentral:rRNA from 1 species
UACGUAGGGUGCAAGCGUUGUCCGGAAUUAUUGGGCGUAAAGAGCUCGUAGGCGGCCAGUUGCGUCUGCUGUGAAAUCCCGGGGCUCAACCCCGGGCGUGCAGUGGAUACGGGCUGGCUAGAGGCAGGCAGGGGAGAACGGAAUUCCCGGUGUAGCGGUGAAAUGCGCAGAUAUCGGGAGGAACACCGGUGGCGAAGGCGGUUCUCUGGGCCUGUACUGACGCUGAGGAGCGAAAGCGUGGGGAGCGAACGGG